CCUAGAUGAGUCAUAAGACUCCAUAAACA
rnacentral:tRNA from 1 species